rnacentral:rRNA from 1 species
GCAAAACGCGAAGAACCUUACCUGAUCUUGACAUAGUAAGAACUUUCCAGAGAUGGAUUGGUGCCUUCGGGAACUUACAUACAGGUGCUGCAUGGCUGUCGUCAGCUCGUGUCGUGAGAUGUUGGGUUAAGUCCCGCAACGAGCGCAACCCUUUUCCUUAUUUGCCAGCGGGUUAAGCCGGGAACUUUAAGGAUACUGCCAGUGACAAACUGGAGGAAGGCGGGGACGACGUCAAGUCAUCAUGGCCCUUACGACCAGGGCUACACACGUGCUACAAUGGUCGGUACAAAGGGUUGCUACCUAGCGAUAGGAUGCUAAUCUCAAAAAGCCGAUCGUAGUCCGGAUUGGAGUCUGCAACUCGACUCCAUGAGGUCGGAAUCGCUAGUAAUCGCGGAUCAGAAUGCCGCGGUGAAUACGUUCCCGGGUCUUGUACACACCG